rnacentral:lncRNA from 1 species
UUCAGAGAUAAUGAAUGUUGAGACAUAAAAAAGAUUUUACUUUAGGCCAACUCUCCUGAAAAAGUGGUAGGUGUAUAUGAUCUCCGCAUAAAGUGAAAAAUAUGGUUUCUGCUGACCAGAGGUUAGACUGUGGCAAAGACUGCUUUUGCUCAAAAUCUAUUAUCCCUUCCGAAAUGUAUAGAGCUGUCUGACAUAGAGAAAGGGAGAGACUAUCUCUCACAUCACUAGAAUGAUUAUCCACAUAAAGAGAAUGAAGACUUCUACAAUGAUGGUGGAGACAAAUGAAAAUUGGAGUUCAUGUUGCCUUUUCCUGGAGAACAAGUAAAUCAAGUAAAUGGGAGGGGAAAGAGUAAGGACAGAACUGGGACUCAUUUCUCUCUUACUAAGGGGA